AGGGUGGCCAAGAAGAUGGAGGAGAUGAAGACCAAAUAGAUGGAGGAGAUGAAGACCAAGGAGGUUUGGGAGAGUAUGACACAUGAGUUGAAGGAAAGGUUGACCAAGAAGGUGAUGGAAAGGGUGACCAAUGAGAUGCAUGAGAGGGUGGCCAAGGAUGUCGAGGAGACGGUGACCAAGGUGGUGCAGGAGAGGGUGACCGAGGAGGUGCAGAAGAGGGUGACAAAGGAGGCGCGGGAGAG
rnacentral:lncRNA from 1 species